UACGUAGGGUGCAAGCGUUGUCCGGAAUUAUUGGGCGUAAAGAGCUCGUAGGCGGUUUGUCGCGUCUGCUGUGAAAUCCCAGGGCUUAACCCUGGGCCUGCAGUGGGUACGGGCAAACUAGAGUGCGGUAGGGGAGACUGGAAUUCCUGGUGUAGCGGUGAAAUGCGCAGAUAUCAGGAGGAACACCGGUGGCGAAGGCGGGUCUCUGGGCAACAACUGACGCUGAGGAGCGAAAGCGUGGGGAGCGAACAGG
rnacentral:rRNA from 1 species